UUUUAGCUUAGUGAUAUCAGGGUCCAGCAUCAUAAAACCCCGACUAUCUCGGGGUUUUUUGUUAUCUGCGGUUUAUCACUGUAGAGUGCUUGGUAUUUGAAUUGGGCUUUAAGCCUUUUUUUG
rfam:Vibrio sp. JCM 19236 DNA, contig00030.